rnacentral:lncRNA from 1 species
CUCAACUCUAUAGCAGUUUAACGGACAUUGUUAUGUUGACAUGCAUCUUUCUACUUAUGUUGACAUGCAUCUUUCUACUCCUCAAAUACCCUUGUUGUAUCAUCUGUAGUAGAUGCUUCAUCACAGAACUAGAAGUGAGGAGGAGAGCACGGACACCCCUGUCAUAAAGCACUAUUGGGAGCAGGCCUAUUUAUAGCUGACUACCGCCACCACCACCCUGCAGCCUGAAAGUCACACCAGGAGAUUUUGGGAGUGAAGUCCUUGAGCUACUCUGUCAAUGCGAAGCAUUGCAGUGACAAGUUUGCAGAUGAGGUUGGUCACUGUGAAGACGCACUGCACCGUUCCCUACGCUAAAGCACAAGGAACAUCCUUCAAAGACAGAUUAUUUGCAGCGAUGAGCCGUCUCACACAUUCAGCCUGAUAAUGACCUAGUUAUCCCAGCCUCUCCCACAGUGCAGGGAGAGACCUGCGAGGGUGGCUGGGAGACAGACAGGAGUCGUUGGAACUCAUCAUGGCGGUGAGCGAUCAUCCAUGCCCUCCAAGGGCUGUCCUGCUGCCUGCUCUCAUCUCUCCAUUCAACCAGUUAGUUUCAGCACUCCUGUAACCCACAGUCUAUUUAUAUGGAGAGCAAAACAGACUUUAAAUCACUUCUGUAAUUUGUAGUUGUAUCUUACACUGAUGUCAGCCCCCUUUUAUGUGUGAAAAGCUCUCAUGUUUUCCAUCACACAGCUGAGUG